GCCUUGAUGUGUAGGAUAGGUGGGAGGCUUUGAAGCGUGGACGCCAGUCUGCGUGGAGCCGACCUUGAAAUACCACCCUUUAAUGUUUGAUGUUCUAACGUGGACCCGUGAUCCGGGUUGCGGACAGUGUCUGGUGGGUAGUUUGACUGGGGCGGUCUCCUCCUAAAGAGUAACGGAGGAGCACGAAGGUUGGCUAAUCCUGGUCGGACAUCAGGAGGUUAGUGCAAUGGCAUAAGCCAGCUUGACUGCGAGCGUGACGGCGCGAGCAGGUGCGAAAGCAGGUCAUAGUGAUCCGGUGGUUCUGAAUGGAAGGGCCAUCGCUCAACGGAUAAAAGGUACUCCGGGGAUAACAGGCUGAUACCGCCCAAGAGUUCAUAUCGACGGCGGUGUUUGGCACCUCGAUGUCGGCUCAUCACAUCCUGGGGCUGAAGUAGGUCCCAAGGGUAUGGCUGUUCGCCAUUUAAAGUGGUACGCGAGCUGGGUUUAGAACGUCGUGAGACAGUUCGGUCCCUAUCUGCCGUGGGCGCUGGAGAACUGAGGGGGGCUGCUCCUAGUACGAGAGGACCGGAGUGGACGCAUCACUGGUGUUCGGGUUGUCAUGCCAAUGGCACUGCCCGGUAGCUAAAUGCGGAAGAGAUAAGUGCUGAAAGCAUCUAAGCACGAAACUUGCCCCGAG
rnacentral:rRNA from 1 species